CUUUCUAUAGGCAACAUAAUUGUCCUCUGGACGAGUAUCAAUGGCAUUCAGCAUGAACUGGCAUAAACGUACAGUUCUCUUGUCCUGAUCUUUGUCUGCAGUUUCCAGAAUCUCUUCGAAAACAGGCUUCAGAGAAUAUAUCAUUGGUGUGUGGCUGCCCGUGAAGCGCCGAACUUGCUUGUUUAGAGUACGAAGGAGCACGUCUUCAAUAAACAAAUGCUUGUCCAGUAGAGACCAAUCCGAUUCAUCUGGCAUGGAAUCGAGGAGAAGAUUAUGAGUGUAUGGAUCAAUACCAUAGACUUCCUGCUCUAUCACCUCUUCUCCAAGUGUUUUCCUUGGUUUAUAAUCCUUCACUUCUGGAAUUUCCAUAUCAGACUCCUCAGUUCCAUUCUUCUGCACACUAAGCUUCCCAGCAUAAUCCUCUGGCAAAGAAACCAGCAUCUUUCUUUUCACUUCUUUCUCAUCAGCUACAAUAACAUAAUGAUCGAUGACUUCAUAUUUCCUUGUUACCGGAGGGACCAGGCUAGCCUUCGUCAUGCGAGCACCCCAUUCACGAUCGUCAGCAAAAGAAUCAAACCCAUCAUCUGGAGUAAAAUAAUCUUUUGAUUCUGCAGCUCCACAUUCUGAUCUUAAAUCCAAGUCACUUUCUGUCUCUGAAGCAGUACUCUCGUUGUCACUCGAAGUAUCACCAGAAGAUCUGCUAAGAUCAUCAGAUGUUUCACUCCCUGAAUCUAAGGAUUUCAAUCUCAACUUGGAUAAGCGUCUUUUGAUCUCUCUAUCACUUGCAAACUCUCCAUAGUCGGAUACACCAUUAACAUAGGAAGAUCCAUUGCUUCUGUUGAAGUAUUUCUUUUCAGACAUUCUAGCAGGAUUCUUUUUGUACUUUGUUGUACUAGAAGAGAAACCUGGAGGAGACUCAUCUUUCGAAGUCUUCAUCAUCUCAUCUCUUGUACUACGGAAUGACUUGGGAUCUUCUUCCAACCUAGUAGCAAGACGGAUAAAUAGUGCAAUAAUGCGAUUCAUGUCUUUGGCAUCACCACGGUUUUUUGAUCUGAGCCACAGCAUUUGUAGAAUAUCAAUCAGAAAUCAGAAUUUUCAGAAAUUAUGUUAAAGUAGAACAGAAGUGCCACACAAAAAAUAGAACCAUUUGCACCAUAUAGAUUAAAAAAUUUAUCGUGUAAUUACUCCACAACCACCUUUCCCUUCAUUCAUCAACCACACAAGAGGGAAGACACGAAGAGGAGAACAGAAAAAUGCAGUUUUGGCGUUGGAAAGCAGCAAGGAAGACAAAAGCAUUCCCUAGAGGAUUGAACAUAUGGACUAUGUUCCUUAAUGUGUGUGGGUGCACUGGGUACAUCCAGCAACAUUGAAAGAGGCUAUAAUCAGUUGGAACGGGCAGAGGGCAAAGAAGCAGCUUAAAGACUUCCGGAGUGCUGUCUCUCAAUGCAUUUCUGGUCAUUAUGGAAGGAAAAUUAUAUGUUUUGAAAACAAAUAUACAGCAGUACACUUGGUCAAAUUUAAGCCUGCAUCUUUCCGUAUUCUUGGUGUAAACAUGAAGGUUUACUGAAAUGUAAUACUUUUGUUGACUUUCUAGAUCCCUUAUUUAUCUGAAGGAAACAGAAGCCUUCUUAUGUGCAUACUCUAGCACUUUCUUGGUGCAAUCAACAAAUUCUCACUUUAAAAAAUUGCAGUACAGGUCCGCUCAUUAUCCCUGAUUCACACUUUCAGUCCCUCUUUGCACCUUUAGCCUUUUAGUUCCCUACGCAGUGACUUGAAUCCUAAAGAAAUAGGCUUUAAUGGAUCUGUAAACCCAGGGCUGAUGGUGAAUGCAUGUCAUUGUCUAAAAGAGUAUUUCAUCAUUUUUAGGGAUCAUUACUAACAGGGAACAGUGAUUUUAUCAGAUCUAUAUUUCUUUCGGAACAUACUGUUUUCCUUAAAAAUGAGACUCGAACAUGAAUAUUGCCACUUUUAAAAAGGCAACCACGACACUAUUGAUUGCAGGUUGACGAAGUUGCUAGAGUUCAGCUAGUUUUGUAUAUUAUUGGGGCUAAAUUGGUAAAGUUUUCCAAAGAUAAUUGGGUACAAUGGACUAAGGAUUCAUACAGUUGAUCCUGGCUCAUUUGGGAUUGAUUGUAGUUCCUGAUUGAUUAAAUAGCACAAUUAAAGGUACAAUUAAGGUCAAAUAGAGGUAUCAAAUAUGCAUUGAUCUCCCAAAACAGAAAUUCACACAAUUCUGCUGUUGCAAAGAUAUGCCGACACUAAAAGAAUCAUACACAAUACGGAAUGCAAAACUUACUUUAGCGCAUCCCGGCACAUUCGACUUAUA
rnacentral:lncRNA from 1 species